AGCGAACGUUAGCGGCAGGCCUAACACAUGCAAGUCGCACGAGGGAAUCGGGCUUCGGUCGGUAGUAAGUGGCGGACGGGUGAGUAACACGUGGAUAAUCUGCCCCUCGGCGGGGGACAACAGUCCGAAAGGAUUGCUAAUACCGCAUACGUCAGCGAGGUCUUCGGACCUUGUUGGGAAAGAUGGCCUCUUCAUGAAAGCUAUCACCGAAGGAUGAGUCCGCGGCCCAUCAGCUAGUUGGCGGGGUAAUGGCCCACCAAGGCUUAGACGGGUAGCUGGUCUGAGAGGAUGAUCAGCCACACUGGAACUGAGACACGGUCCAGACUCCUACGGGAGGCAGCAGUGGGGAAUAUUGGGCAAUGGGCGCAAGCCUGACCCAGCCAUGCCGCGUGAGUGAUGAAGGCCUU
rnacentral:rRNA from 1 species